rnacentral:rRNA from 1 species
UACAGAGGGUGCAAACGUUGUUCGGAAUUACUGGGCGUAAAGCGCGUGUAGGCGGCAUUGUAGGUCGGAUGUGAAAUCCCGUGGCUCAACCAUGGAAGUGCAUUCGAAACCGCAGAGCUAGAGUAUCGGAGAGGAAGGUGGAAUGCUUGGUGUAGAGGUGAAAUUCGUAGAUAUCAAGCGGAACACCGGUGGCGAAGGCGGCCUUCUGGACGAUUACUGACGCUGAGACGCGAAAGCGUGGGUAGCAAACAGG